AGUACAGUACUCGUCGGGUCCGAGAACGAUGCUCUCUAACCGAUAGUCCCAGCACAACACACUUUCCUGGAAUUUUAUGGCUUGUUCCACCUCUCCUCCGAUAUUGAUUCUUUGAUCGUAGAUCUCGGCAAAGGCUCCUUCGCCAUCACCUUCGAAGCAGUCCUUGUCGUGAACGUAAGUUACCUUGGCGGUUCCAUCAGGAAGGUUUUGAACUAAUACUGACUUGAGGUCCCGUCCCGAGGCUACUUGGCCCAAUCUGCUGGUGUUCAGGGUUUCUAAGUUGCCGGCGUCCAAGAGUUGGCAGGUCAAGGGUUCGCGAGCAGCAGAUUUGCCGUUCGAGUUGCAGUGUGGCAACGAGCAGAUGCGCAACUUUCCGUAUUCCGUAGAGAAGGCAUUGACCGUCAGGGUCAAGUGACGUUGAGCCACGACCUGAAAUGUGGAAUCUAGUCGCUGUAGUAAGGUCGAACAGUUGUUACUGAACCCCUGGAUUCGAAGGUACCCUUCUGAUGAGGUUUUUUCUUUGAUCGGACUGAUGCAAAUUUUUUUAUCAGAAUUUGAGUCCCGGAGUCCAGAUGUACUAGAUUGAACUAGAAUGUGGUCAAGUUUAAUUUUCUCUCCUUUGUCAUUGUACCGACAGGGUGAACAGACUUUAUUGUCCGAGAAGAUGUCAAAGCUGUCAUUGUAAGCGAUCACAGUGCUUAUGUCGGCAUCCUGAAUAUCGUUCCGAAUCUUUUCACCGAUUUCACGUGAAACGCAGGUCUGGUGAUUUACAACGAGGAACCGCCAGGUUUUGGUAGAACCAUCUGACUCGUAAGACCGAAGAAUUAUCUUAUCGUUGCCUAGGACUGAUACCUUAACAAAGCUGGUAUAGUUGCUGGAUUUCAAAAGAGCAGGGAACGAAAGGCUGCAACUCUUUCGGUCAUUACCCCAAGUAAGACUGAUAGAGUUGGCGGAGUUCGAAAUUUCGAUUAAGGUACGAUUGAUUUUGAUUAUAGAGCCUCGAAACAAUGAUGCUCUUGAAAACUUGUGUAUCUGCAAGGCGUUGGCGGUGGCGAGCACGAGUAGGACAAACACGAGCUUCUGGCACAACAUGGCGAUGGUUUUCUGAAAAUAUUUUUGUUAAUGUCGAGCCUUUUGCAUGAAUUAGGCGACAGUACUGAUCGAGAAGCAGAAGUUCUCUACAGAUUUAUCUUGACCUUUAUUUUAUCAUUAUACUACAGUGUCGUGAGAAACUUGAAAAGAUAAGGAGGUUUAAGCCGUACAUACAGCUAUAAAAAAAGUUAUCUAUUUGGUGCAUAAACUUAUACAUAUGCACAGACAAUUGAGAAAAAUCAUACUUACAGUCGAUUUUUGCGAAAAUUUUUGAAAUUUUAUUGUUAUUUAUUCAAAUUGCGGUUAUCAAGCAAAAGAAGAAAAAAAGAUUUCCACAAUAGAGUUUUUUGUAGCUUAUUUAUAAAUUCCUCGGCACUUAAAAGACAGCCCACAACAUGUACACAGCUGCCCAGUCGCGAAUGAAAUGAGAUCAAGCACUUCCAGCGCCACGUUAUCGCAUUCUUGUUAUGUUUAGUACUUGCAAAAUUAGUAUUCUUUACUCACGACUUUUUAACAAGAAGAAAAUAUUUUAAAUACUGACUUAUCCAAAUUUUACAAAAAAUAUGUAUUUUUCUUUUCUUCGGCAAUGUUUUAUUACCUUUUUUUAAAAUGCAAUUAUAAAUAAAUUUAGGUUAUAAUAUAUUUUUUUACGACGUGUGCUCUAUUACUGUUAACGUAUGGUUUAUAGCUGUCUAAAAACAAUAGAAUCCGAUGUUUCAUUAGACAAAAAAUUAAUAAAAGGGAAAGUAAAAACAUGCGCUUAGUGCAUAACUUCGGUAUGAUUGUAUUAUCAAUUAUGUAAAACAAUUUUAAAUAAAUAUUGAUUUGGAACUUA